UGAGACAUGCGUCCUCUUCACGCCUGAUUCAGCUUCACUCAGGUCUUCAGCCCCAAGGGAAUGAAGGUCGGCAAUGGUGAAGAAAAGGCACGGUGGCAGGCCUCGCAAAGCGCUCACAUCUCCUUCCACAAGUAGGAGGCGGAGAGAACGAACUCAAAAUGGGCCACUAACGGAAGAUGAAGUGGUCGAAGACGUGAGCUUACCUGUGGGAGCGUUCACAAUCUCGUUCAAGCCAGC